UGCCAGUAUCCUGGUGUGUGGUCA
rnacentral:piRNA from 1 species